CGUACUUGUACUGAUUGAGAUUUUAACACGAAGUGAGUGGCGAACGGGUGAGUAACACGUGGGUAACCUGCCCAGAAGUAGGGGAUAACACCUGGAAACAGAUGCUAAUACCGUAUAACAGAGAAAACCGCAUGGUUUUCUUUUAAAAGAUGGCUCUGCUAUCACUUCUGGAUGGACCCGCGGCGUAUUAGCUAGUUGGUGAGGUAAAGGCUCACCAAGGCAGUGAUACGUAGCCGACCUGAGAGGGUAAUCGGCCACAUUGGGACUGAGACACGGCCCAGACUCCUACGGGAGGCAGCAGUAGGGAAUCUUCCACAAUGGACGCAAGUCUGAUGGAGCAACGCCGCGUGAGUGAAGAAGGGUUUCGGCUCGUAAAGCUCUGUUGUUAAAGAAGAACGUGGGUAAGAGUAACUGUUUACCCAGUGACGGUAUUUAACCAGAAAGCCACGGCUAACUACGUGCCAGCAGCCGCGGUAAUACGUAGGUGGCAAGCGUUAUCCGGAUUUAUUGGGCGUAAAGCGAGCGCAGG
rnacentral:rRNA from 1 species